rnacentral:tRNA from 1 species
GCCAGCAUGGUGUAGUGGUUUGAGUGCUGGGCUAUCACUCUGGAGACCAGGGUUCGAUUCCCAGAUUGGCC